UGAAAAUAAUGAAAUAAACAGUAAAAUGUUUAUUUUAAGUACUUAUUAGAAACAAAUUUAUUUAAAUAAAAUUAAAUAAAUUAAACCAAUUUAUAUAAGUCAAAUUAUAUAUUUUGAUGAAUAAUAAUAAUUUCAAACUAAUUACAAAAUCAAAUAAAAUGUUCACAUUUUAUUGUAAUGCACCAUUUUAAUUUCUGACCUAUCAACUUUGGAUGGUAAGAUUUGGGCUUACCAUUGUAUUAACGGGUAACGGGGAACUAGAGUUUGGUUCCGGAGAGGGCGCUUGAGAAAUAGCGACCACUUUUACGAAAGGCAGCAGGCGCGUAAAUUAUCCAAUUCUAAAACGAGAGAGGUAGUGACGACAAAUAACAAGACUGGGCAUUUUAAAUAAUGUCUAGUGAUUGGAAUGAGCACAAUUUAAAUCCCUUAGUAAGUAACAAUUGGAGGACAAGUCUGGUGCCAGCACCCGCGGUAAUUCCAGCUCCAAUAGUGUAUAUUAAAGUUGUUGCGGUUAAAAACGCUCGUAGUUAAAAAUAAUAAUAAUAUAAAUAA
rnacentral:rRNA from 1 species